rnacentral:rRNA from 1 species
UACGAAGGGGGCUAGCGUUGUUCGGAUUUACUGGGCGUAAAGCGCACGUAGGCGGACUAUUAAGUCAGGGGUGAAAUCCCGGGGCUCAACCUCGGAACUGCCUUUGAUACUGCAAAUCUCGAGUCCGGAAGAGGUGAGUGGAAUUCCUAGUGUAGAGGUGAAAUUCGUAGAUAUUAGGAAGAACACCAGUGGCGAAGGCGGCUCACUGGUCCGGUACUGACGCUGAGGUGCGAAAGCGUGGGGAGCAAACAGG